GACGUGAAACCGCUCAGAGGUAAACGGGUGGAUCCGCAAAAGUCGGCCGGCAGAAUUCAGCGCGGCGCGCGGCUCCGGGGCUGCUGUAGUCUGGGAUCCCUUGGACCCGACUGCGGUGCUGCGCCGGGCCCCGCCGUGUGCACUUUCUGCCGGCAGAGAGCCACAACCGGUUCGGCGUUGUGGCGGUGAGAUGUCAGGUGGGGUUGUAGGUGGGGGCGCUUGCGUCCCUACCAGCCCUGCUUGUCGAGCCGCCUCCGGACCGAGGAACUGCCACGCGCUUCGAGGCCACCCUCCUCUCGGGGUGAGUUCGACUGGGAGAGACUGGGCAACCGUGUCUCCUGAACGCUUACUUUCGAUCAGCGCGGGGCUGGCCGGGCGCAUUCAGUGUGGGUUUGUGGCGAGUCUGUCGGCACUCCACCCGACCCGUCUUGAAACACGGACCAAGGAGUCUAACAUGCGCGCGAGUCAUUGGGUGGUACGAAACCCAAAGGCGCAGUGAAAGCGAGGUCGGUCAAACGCCUAGGUGGGAUCCGUCCCCUGAAGCUCUCUCCGAGGGUCAUUGGGGGGCGGCGCACCACCGGCCCGUCCCGUCUGCGUCGGCAGUGGGGCGGAGCAAGAGCGCGCACGCUGGGACCCGAAAGAUGGUGAACUAUGCCUGAGUAGAACGAAGCCAGAGGAAACUCUGGUGGAGGUUCGUAGCGAUUCUGACGUGCAAAUCGAUCGUCAAACUUGGGUAUAGGGGCGAAAGACUAAUCGAACCAUC
rnacentral:rRNA from 1 species